GACGAACGCUGGCGGCGUGCCUAAUACAUGCAAGUCGAACGCAGUGGGGACGGGUGAGUAACACGUGGGUAACCUCCCAUCAGAGGGGAUAACACUUGGAAACAGGUGCUAAACCGAUACUGAUGGAUGAACCCGCGGUGCAUUAGCUAGUUGGUGAGGUAACGGCUCACCAAGGCCACGAUGCAUAGCCGACCUGAAAGGGGGAUGAUCCACACUGGGACUGAGACACGGCCCAGACUCCGACUUCGUACACCAGUAACUAAUAUUCGGCAAUGGACGAAAGUCUGACCGAGCAACGCCGCGUGGGUGAAGAAGGUUUUCGGCUCGUAAAGCUCUGUUGUUAGAGAAGCGGUAUCUAACCAGAAAGCCACGGCUAACUACGUGCCAGCAGCCGCGGUAAUUC
rnacentral:rRNA from 1 species